CCUACGGGAGGCAGCAGUGAGGAAUAUUGGUCAAUGGACGAGAGUCUGACCCAGCCAAGUAGCGUGAAGGAUGACUGCCCUAUGGGUUGUAAACUUCUUUUAUAUGGGAAUAAAAUGUUCCACGUGUGGGAUUUUGUAUGUACCAUAUGAAUAAGGAUCGGCUAACUCCGUGCCAGCAGCCGCGGUAAUACGGAGGAUCCGAGCGUUAUCCGGAUUUAUUGGGUUUAAGGGGUGCGUAGGCGGAGCGUUAAGUCAGUGGUAAAAUUGAGGGGCUCAACCCCUUCCCGCCAUUGAAACUGGCGCUCUUGAGUGGAAGAGAAGUAUGCGGAAUGCGUGGUGUAGCGGUGAAAUGCAUAGAUAUCACGCAGAACCCCGAUUGCGAAGGCAGCAUGCCGGCUUCCGACUGACGCUGAAGCACGAAAGCGUGGGGAUCGAACAGGAUUAGAUACCCUGGUAGUC
rnacentral:rRNA from 1 species